GCCCAAGUAGCUCAGUUGGUAGAGCAUACGACUGAAAAUCGUAGUGUCGGUGGUUCGAUCCCGCCCUUGGGCA
rfam:Sphingomonas sp. Leaf231 contig_2, whole genome shotgun sequence.